UACAGAGGGGGCAAGCGUUGUUCGGAAUUACUGGGCGUAAAGGGCGCGUAGGCGGCCUGUUAAGUCGGACGUGAAAUCCCCGGGCUCAACCCGGGAACUGCGUCCGAUACUGGCAGGCUUGAAUCCGGGAGAGGGAUGUGGAAUUCCAGGUGUAGCGGUGAAAUGCGUAGAUAUCUGGAGGAACACCGGAGGCGAAGGCGGCAUCCUGGACCGGCAUUGACGCUGAGGCGCGAAAGCCAGGGGAGCAAACGGG
rnacentral:rRNA from 1 species